UACGGAAGGCAGCAGUGGGGAAUAUUGCACAAUGGGCGAAAGCCUGAUGCAGCUAUGCCGCGUGUAUGAAGAAGGCCUUAGGGUUGUAAAGUACUUUCAUCGGGGAGGAAAAACAAAACUAAUAAUUUUAUUUCUUGACGUUACCCGAAAAAGAAGCACCGGCUAACUCCGUGCCAGCAGCCGCGGUAAUACGGAGGGUGCUAGCGUUAAUCAGAAUUACUGGGCGUAAAGAGCACGUAGGUGGUUUUUUUAAGUCAGAUGUGAAAUCCCUGGGCUUAACCUAGGAACUGCAUUUUGAAACUGAAAUACUAGAGUAUCGUAGAGGGAGGUAGAAUUCUAGGUGUAGCGGUGAAAUGCGUAGAUAUCUGGAGGAAUACCUGUGGCGAAAAGCGGCCUCCUAAACGAAUACUGACACUGAGGUGCGAAAAGCGUGGGGAGCAAAACAGGGAUUAGAUA
rnacentral:rRNA from 1 species